AAAGACUUAGUCCUAACCUUAUAGUUAGUUUAUGCCAGACACAUACAUGCAAGUAUCCGCGCACCAGUGAAAAUGCCCCUAACACCUGGAACUACCCAAGUCAAAGGAGCAGGUAUCAGGCACACCCAAGCAGUAGCCCAAGACGCCUUGCUUAGCCACACCCCCACGGGUAUUCAGCAGUAGUUAACAUUAAGCAAUAAGUGUAAACUUGACUUAGCCAUGGCAACCAAGGGUCGGUAAAUCUUGUGCCAGCCACCGCGGUCACACAAGAGACCCAAAUUAACUAUACUACCGGCGUAAAGAGUGGUAAUAUGCUAUCCCAACAACUAAGAUCAAAGCACAACUGAGCCGUCAUAAGCCCAAGAUAUGUCUAAAACCACCCUCAAGACGAUCUUAGCACCCACGACCAAUUUAAAUCCACGAAAGCUAGGACACAAACUGGGAUUAGAUACCCCACUAUGCCUAGCCCUAAAUCAAAGUACUUACCAAACCCAAGUACUCGCCCGAGAACUACGAGCACAAACGCUUAAAACUCUAAGGACUUGGCGGUGCCCCAAACCCACCUAGAGGAGCCUGUUCUAUAAUCGAUAACCCACGAUUCACCCAACCACCCCUCGCCAACACAGCCUACAUACCGCCGUCGCCAGCUCACCUCCCCUGAGAGCCCAACAGUGAGCUAAGCAGUUACCCCACUAGCAAGACAGGUCAAGGUAUAGCCCAUGGGGUGGAAGAAAUGGGCUACAUUUUCUACUACUAGAACAAACUUUACGAAAGGGGAUCUGAAACCAUCCCUAGAAGGAGGAUUUAGCAGUAAAGUAAGACAAUAGAGCCUACUUUAAACCGGCUCUGGGACACGUACAUACCGCCCGUCACCCUCCUCACAAGCUAAAUAGACCAUAUAAAUAAUCUGCCAAACAGCCAAAGAUGAGGUAAGUCGUAACAAGGUAAGUGUACCGGAAGGUGCACUUAGGAUAU
rnacentral:ncRNA from 1 species